UACGUAGGCAGCGAGCGUUGUUCGGAAUUACUGGGCGUAAAGAGUGUGUAGGCGGUGCUCUAAGUUCGGUGUGAAAUCUCCUGGCUCAACUGGGAGGGUGCGCCGGAAACUGGAGUGCUUGAGCGUGGGAGAGGAAAGCGGAAUUCCACGUGUAGCGGUGAAAUGCGUAGAGAUGUGGAGGAACACCAGUGGCGAAGGCGGCCAUC
rnacentral:rRNA from 1 species